rnacentral:rRNA from 1 species
UACGAAGGGGGGCUAGCGUUGCUCGGAAUGACUGGGCGUAAAGGGCGCGUAGGCGGCGGUCACAGUCAGAUGUGAAAUUCCUGGGCUUAACCUGGGGGGCUGCAUUUGAUACGUGGUUGCUUAGUGGGGGAAGAGGGCUGGAAUUCCCAGUGUAGAGGUGAAAUCGUAGAUAUUGGGGAAGUAACACCGGUGGGCGAAAGGC